AACCUGGUUGAUCCUGCCAGUAGUCAUACGCUCGUCUCAAAGAUUAAGCCAUGCAUGUGUAAGUUCAAUGAUUUGACCAAAAAACUGCGAAUGGCUCAUUAUAUCAGUUAUAGUUUAUUUGAUAGUCCCUUAACUAGUUGGAUACCCCGUAGUAAUUCU
rnacentral:rRNA from 1 species